GUACCAUAUUACAUCAUGUCUCAUACAUGUUUUUAUACAAUACCAUAAGAAAACAUAUGGAAAGCAGUCGAACAAAACAUGCAAAAACAAAACUUCGAUGCAAAACAACAUUGUCCCUAACCCAUCAUCGAUUAUGCCGACUGACUUCCACCAACUCCGCAAUUAUGAAUCUGAGAAUUUAGUAUAGAACACUAUGAGUAUAAAGAAUACUUAGUAAGAUACCAUGCUUAGAUUUUAACAUGUUAAUACUACACAAAAGAAUGCAAUCAAACACAUACUUGCACAUUCCGGCUUGUCGGUGCCCUUCGGAC
rnacentral:lncRNA from 1 species